GACGAACCGUGCGAACGUUAUUCGGAAUCACUGGGCUUAAAGGGCGCGUAGGCGGGCAUUCAAGUCAGGGGUGAAAUCCCACGGCUCAACCGUGGAAGUGCCUUUGAUACUGACUGUCUCGAGGGAGGUAGGGGCGUGCGGAACUUCCGGUGGAGCGGUGAAAUGCGUAGAUAUCGGAAGGAACACCGGUGGCGAAAGCGGCGCGCUGGACCUCUACUGACGCUGAGGCGCGAAAGCCAGGGGAGCAAACGGG
rnacentral:rRNA from 1 species